GCCACAUCAUGUUGAAACAUUGGUUCCCGUAUGAUCACCAAAGUUAAACGUCAAGCCUGGUCAGUGCCUAGAUGGGUGACCAUUUGGGAAUAACAGGUGCUGUAAG